rfam:Wolbachia endosymbiont of Culex quinquefasciatus Pel strain wPip complete genome
CAGUAGGAAAUAGACCUACCAGGAUAAAAGUCGGAAUCCUGUAGCUUGGGUAGCAGCAUAAAGGGAAACCAAAAUGUUGAAGCCUACCGACAACAUUAUCGUAGGAUAAUGGCGAAUUACCAGGCCGUAGCGAAA